CACGUAGGGCGCAAGCGUUGUCCGGAAUUAUUGGGCGUAAAGAGCUCGUAGGCGGUUUGUCGCGUCUGCCGUGAAAGUCCGGGGCUCAACUCCGGAUCUGCGGUGGGUACGGGCAGACUAGAGUGAUGUAGGGGAGACUGGAAUUCCUGGUGUAGCGGUGAAAUGCGCAGAUAUCAGGAGGAACACCGAUGGCGAAGGCAGGUCUCCGGGCAUUAACUGACGCUGAGGAGCGAAAGCAUGGGGAGCGAACAGG
rnacentral:rRNA from 1 species